rnacentral:rRNA from 1 species
CCAGACUCCUACGGGAGGCAGCAGUGGGGAAUAUUGGGCAAUGGGCGCAAGCCUGACCCAGCAACGCCGCGUGAAGGAAGAAGGCUUUCGGGUUGUAAACUUCUUUUAAGAGGGAAGAGCAGAAGACGGUACCUCUUGAAUAAGCCACGGCUAACUACGUGCCAGCAGCCGCGGUAAUGCGUAGGUGGCAAGCGUUGUCCGGAUUUACUGGGUGUAAAGGGCGUGUAGCCGGGCUGACAAGUCAGAUGUGAAAUUCCGGGGCUCAACCCCGGACCUGCAUUUGAAACUGUUGGUCUUGAGUAUCGGAGAGGCAGGCGGAAUUCCUUGUGUAGCGGUGAAAUGCGUAGAUAUAAGGAAGAACACCAGUGGCGAAGGCGGAUUACUGGACGAUAACUGACGGUGAGGCGCGAAAGCGUGGGGAGCAAACAGGAUUAGAUACCCCGGUACAU